ACAGUGUUAUCAUCAGGUGAGGUGCGGCUUUCCUACCUGUGUCUUUCUACUCAAGAGUGGAUCGUCUUCAGCCGCUGUGACGUCAACUAAAUGUGCGGCGUGUGACUCUGCGGCCGCGUCAAUGACUCUCCAGGUCAGGUAACAACAGCCCAG